rnacentral:rRNA from 1 species
CUACGGGCCGCUGCAGUGGGGAAUAUUGCACAAUGGGGGAAACCCUGAUGCAGCAACGCCGCGUGGAGGAUGACGCAUUUCGGUGUGUAAACUCCUUUUAUAUCCCAAGAUAAUGACGGUAGGAUAUGAAUAAGCACCGGCUAACUCCGUGCCAGCAGCCGCGGUAAUACGGAGGGUGCAAGGCGUUACUCGGAAUCACUGGGCGUAAAGGGCGCGUAGGCGGGUUGUCAAGUCUUGAGUGAAAUCCAACGGCUCAACCGUUGAACUGCUUGAGAAACUGGCAGCCUAGAGUAAGGGAGAGGUAGAUGGAAUUGGUGGUGUAGGGGUAAAAUCCGUAGAGAUCACCAGGAAUACCCAUUGCGAAGGCGAUCUGCUGGAACUUUACUGACGCUGAGGCGCGAAAGCGUGGGGAGCAAACAGGAUUAGAUACCCGCGUAGUC